UACGGAGGGGGCUAGCGUUGCUCGGAAUCACUGGGCGUAAAGCGCACGUAGGCGGCUCGUUAAGUCGGGGGUGAAAUCCUGGAGCUCAACUCCAGAACUGCCCUCGAUACUGACGAGCUCGAGUCCGGGAGAGGUGAGUGGAACUGCGAGUGUAGAGGUGAAAUUCGUAGAUAUUCGCAAGAACACCAGUGGCGAAGGCGGCUCACUGGCCCGGUACUGACGCUGAGGUGCGAAAGCGUGGGGAGCAAACAGG
rnacentral:rRNA from 1 species